rnacentral:rRNA from 1 species
AACAUCGCCUUUUGAAAUAUAAACAUAAAAGGUCCUGCCUGCCCAAUGACUUGUUUCAAUGGCCGCGGUAUUAUGACCGUGCAAAGGUAGCGUAAUCAUUUGUCUUCUAAAUAAAGACCAGUAUGAAUGGCUAGACGAAAGCCUUACUGUCUCCCUAGCCCAGUCAAUGAAAUUGAUCUCCCCGUGCAGAAGCGGGGAUAAUAGUAUAAGACGAGAAGACCCUGCGGAGCUUCAAACUCUAAUUAAUAACCACAUACGUCUAAUAACCAGUUUUAGGUUGGGGCGACCAUGAGGUACAACAUAACCCUCACGACAUGUAACAAAGAAGGACACUUCAAACAACUAAUAAUAGUAUAUUGACCCAACAAUUGAUCAACGAACCAAGUUACCCCAGGGAUAACAGCGCAAUCCGCUCAAAAAGUCCAUAUUAACGAGCAGGUUUACGACCUCGAUGUUGGAUCAGG